UACCAGUGUGCAGCAGCCUGAACGUUCUACGUUCCUAGUAGAAGUAGUCUUUACCUAACCUAACAGUUGGCGUUGUCGGCAGGAUUCACCACGAUUUACAGUCAAACUGGAGAGUACGAAUUAGUGGAGCAGGAGCCGGCACCAAAAACAAGGAACCUGAAGGAGGAAAAAGUCAAAAGCUCCAGCUGAAAUGUCAUUAUCAGUUGUACAAUAGGAGGGCUGGUGGCAGAUAGAGGGGGAAGUAAGAGUGUGAUUAUAAUUUUGAGGCCAGGGUCUUAUGCCAUGGUAGCAGAUUAUAUAGCCAGAGGCCAUAAAUCUCAGAGGUGUGAACAUAUAGUUCAGCUGGUAGAGCACGGCACUUGUAACGCCAAGGGAGUGGGUUCGAUCCCCGGGACCACCCAUACACA